rnacentral:rRNA from 1 species
GGUGAGUCGGGUCCUAAGGCGAGGCCGACAGGCGUAGUCGAAUGGAUGAACGGGUGGAUAUUCCCGUACCGACCAUGGACCGGCAAAACCGAGACGGUGAGUACUAACCUCCGCCUCGUGGUGGUUCCUUCCUUCGGGUUGGUAUCGCCGCGUGGUGUUGGGAGCGUAGCCGCAGUAGGUCAGCGCAGGGGUGACACGGAAUGGGAGCCGGCCGCGGAGGUGGUUUUCCGUGGUCAAGCACGCAGCCAGUCAUGUAGGCAAAUCCGCAUGGCAUGCAUGGCGAGGUGUGAUGAUGGGAGCCGUUAUGGCUCGAUAUCCGGUUGUCCAGGCCGUCGAGAAAAGCCUCGGCGUGAGGGCCAUGGCCGCCCGUACCCCAAACCGACACUGGUGGUCAGGUAGAGAAUACCAAGGCGAUCGAGCGAAUCCUGGUCAAGGAACUCGGCAAAUCACUCCCGUGCCUUCGGUAUAAGGGAGACCCGCUGGGGUGAACCGGCUAGCCCGGGGAGCUUUGGUGGGUGGCACAGACCAGGGGGUAGCGACUGUUUACCAAAAACACAGGUGCAUGCGAAGGCGAAAGCCGCUGUAUAUGCACUGACGCCUGCCCGGUGCCGGAAGGUUAAGAGGAUCCGUCAAUCCCUUCGGGGACGAAGCGGUGAAUUCAAGCCCCGGUAAACGGCGGUGGUAACUAUAACCAUCCUAAGGUAGCGAAAUUCCUUGUCGGGUAAGUUCCGACCUGCACGAAUGGCGUAACGACUUCCCCACUGUCUCGACCAGGAGCUCGGCGAAAUUGCAGUACGAGUAAAGAUGCUCGUUAAGCGCAGAAGGACGAAAAGACCCCGGGACCUUUACUAUACCUUGGUAUUGGCGUUAGGCGCGGAUUGUGUAGCAUAGGCGGGAGGCUUCGAAGCGGGUGCGCCAGCAUUCGUGGAGCCGCAAGGUGAAAUACCGCUCUGUUCUCGUUUGACGUCUAACCUCGACAAGUCAUCCUUGUCAGGGACAGUGCCUGGCGGGUAGUUCAACUGGGGCGGUUGCCUCCCAAAGAGUAACGGAGGCGCUCAAAGGUCCGCUCAGCCCGGUUGGCAAUCGGGUGUCGAGUGUAAUCGCACAAGCGGGCUUGACUGCGAGGACGACGGUCCGAGCAGGGACGAAAGUCGGAGAUAGUGAUCCGGUGCCGGCGCACGGGCGCGGCAUCGCUCAACGGAUAAAAGGUACCCCGGGGAUAACAGGCUGAUCAUUCCCAAGAGUCCAUAUCGACGGGAUGGUUUGGCACCUCGAUGUCGGCUCGUCGCAUCCUGGGGCUGGAGCAGGUCCCAAGGGUUCGGCUGUUCGCCGAUUAAAGCGGCACGCGAGCUGGGUUCAGAACGUCGUGAGACAGUUUGGUCUCUAUCCUCUGCGCUCGUUGGAAUCCUGAGGAGGCCUGCCCAUAGUACGAGAGGACCUGGGUGGACGAACCUCUGGUAUGCCGGUUGUCGCGCCAGCGGCACGGCCGGUUGGCUACGUUCGGGAGGGAUAACCGCUGAAAGCAUCUAAGCGGGAAGCCUGCUCCAAGAUUAGGAUUCCAUGGAUCUUCGAGAUCCUGUAGCCCGCAUGUUGAACACGUGUUUGAUAGGCCGGAGGUGGAAGUCCCGUGAGGGGUGGAGCCGACCGGUACUAACGGGCGACGGCGACAUAA